CCGGCGGUGAGAGGUGAGUGGCGUCUGAUUAUAUUGUGGCGAGAGUGGAGCUUGAUUGGCAACUUCUCCACCUGCUCCUGCAUCAGCUGAUGAUGAUUGACAAUGAGAGACACCUGCCGCUGCAACUGCACUGCUGACGAACCUAAAAAGGAAAAAAAGGCGGAGAAAAGAGGGAGAGCGCACUAUCUAGGCCUGGCAGCAGCCAGCCUGACAUGUUCAAGACUACUGUAGUGUUAAUUCUGGUUCUUAUUCGUUUAGUACUGUUGUUUUGGGGAUUCCUGCCUUGGUGUUACCAGUCAUGGGUUUUCAUUUAGGUUUCUCUAUUCCAUUUAGGUUUAUUUAGUGUAAAUAUUCUGCUAGCCCACUAGUAUGGAGGACUCAAAGUGCCAAAAUUAAAUAAAUAAAUACAUCAUUAAAUAAUUAAUUAAAUAUGUCAUUAAUUAAUUAAAAUUGGAAUUAAAUAUUUCAUUAAUUAAUUAAAAUUGGAAUUAAAUAUUUCAUUAAUUAAUUAAAAUUGGAAUUAAAUACUUAAAUGUGUUAUUAAAUAAAUAUAUCAUUAAAUAAUUAAAUAUGUCAUUAAUUAAUUAAAAUUGGCAUUAAAUUUGUCAUUAAUUAAUUAAAAUUGGAAUUAAAUACGUUAUUAAAUAUAUCAUUAAUUUAUUAAAAUACCAAUUCAUUUUAAGUAAAAAACAUAUUUCAUUAUUUCACUAUUUAAUUAAUUAUUUCAUGGUCCUUGUGUUGCAGUGGAUCAUGAAUUUAUUUUAUCUGUCAACCUCGCCCGUCAAAGUCGGUGGGCGGAUCCUAACACCUGAUUGGUUACCCUGCACAUCAAGUCAAGGCAAAUCGAUUCCAGAUAAUGGAUUGACACAGAGCUUGUGAACACAUGCCGAUACACUGGGUGGCGCUAUUCACCUCUACGUUGGUUUGGAUACUCAAUAAAACAAAACUUUAUUAGCAACCGCUAAAGACUCGGUCCUCUUUCCCAAAUGUUGAUACAUGCGGUGCAAGACAAAUUUUCCUUUAGCAUCUACUCGGCGCGCCACGGCUCGUCUCGGUUUAGUUGUUUUUCCAUUACAUUGAGUACCACCUCAUCGUGGGUUGAGUCGUCAUAGCACGGUGGCCCGAAAGUCCCUUACCGUCAUUUCUGUGCGACACAAACGCAAUGCAACAAUGUACAUGGAGGCGAUAGUACACCUGCUGCUCGGUCUGUGGCUUUCUGUCAGAUUCAGAGUAAUAGAAGAGUCGGAGAAAGCUGAGAGCGGCGAGUCGAAACACUCAGGAGACACACAGGAGAGUUUGGGAGGCGAUGCAGCAGUAUCAAGCCGAAGACAAGAGGAUAUGAACGAGACGACAUAUGAGGAUGCUCUCUGAUGAGACUUCAUGGGAUUUACCUGAAGCAGCAGCACAUGAGCCUGCAGUGGCACAAGGUGUAGAGGAGGAGGGCAGAGAUGUACAGGAUGCACUGAUGCACUACGUGUCAUGCAAAGUUAUUCUUCUUGUUAUACUUCUGUUUUUCUGUCCCCGGACACUAUUGUUUUCUUGAAUGCAAUUCUGACAAUAAACUUUUGUAGAUGUG